GAACUAUCCUUUGACUCUCAGGGCCUCAUUUACUAACAGGAUUGGGCCCAUUUCAGGCGUAAUUUCUGCAGAAUUUCCAAAACCACAGCUGUUGGUAUCCCCUUCAGUAAUUUGGCCGACAACCACAGUCCAUCUGAGUUGUGUAGUCCCCAAGGGACCAGUGUAUCCGUGUAUUUUCAUGGUGGGAGAGAACUACACCAUCCCUACAUCAUCAUGCCAGCUGACCCUCACAGGAGAACAAAUUAAAGCCUGGGGACGGGUAAACCCACCUUCGGAGCUUCCAGUGAAAUGUUUCUACACUGUAAAAGAGUCUGGUGUUAAACAUCCCUCUGAUUUCUCUUCUCC
ensembl:lncRNA